CAGCACUAAAGCACCGGAUCCCACCAGAACUCCGAAGUUAAGCGUGCUUG
rnacentral:rRNA from 1 species